rnacentral:lncRNA from 1 species
GGUUAAACUGCUUUAAAGCUUAAAAUGGAUAAUUAGUGAAUUAUAAAUCAAUUUCUGAACUAUAUGAAGUUUAAUCGGUCGAAUUGAUGCAGUUUGGACUUGCUCCUUCGCAGCAGGUUCUCGAACCACUGGGGGCUAAUUUGGUGACCAGGGAGACUAGUUUGGAAGGUGUUCCAACUGUUAAGGAUUUUAUAGAUUGGCGAAUUUCGUAAAGAUGUUUGGAGUCUUGAAGAGUUGAUCGCAGAAGUUUUUGAGAAAAGAUUCAAAUCGGAGGACGAAGACUCAUUCGGAAAGAUCGACACCUAAGGUAUGAAGAAAAGAUCAUUUGUGGUGAAGAUACAUAAUUAGAAUAAGUUCAGAAGGCUUAGAUUGUUUUUAAACAACUUUUCUGAACUUUCUUGUGUUCUGGGACCGGUCUCUGAGAUGGAGAGACCGGUUCCCCCAAGGUCCUCACUGCGUAAACCAUAAUGCAACCGGUCCCCUGUGAUGAGAGACCGGGUCCCGAACCUUGGUGAUUCUGUCGCGCAGCGAGGGACCGGUCUCAAGUUUGAGAGACCGGUUCCCGAACGUGGGGUUUUUGGUCACGCAGGGAGGGACCGGUUCCUCACUUGAGAGACCGGUCUCUCACAGACCGGUCUCCUCGAGAGGACCGGUCUCUGAGGACGACAUAGGUUUUUGAAAACGACUUUUUGCAAUCCUAGUCUACUUCUAAGUCUUCUAAACAUAUAAAUAAGCUAUGUGGGUCAUCNAGGACCGGCAAAGAUCACCGUCAACGAGAAAUCGGUAAAUUGAGUCGUGUGUUUUUUUCGAAAUCACUUGUACUCAAGUUUUCUUAGUGGAUUUUCUUUGCGUGAUCGGUCCCGUGGGUUUUUCACUCCGAAUUGGAGUUUUCCCACGUUAAAUUCUCGGUGUGCUGUUUUAAUUUCCGCUAUUUUGUCUUGUUUGCAUCGAGAUUUUUCGAGUUUGCCGG